GACGAACGCUGGCGGCGUGCUUAACACAUGCAAGUCGAACGGAAAGGCCCUGCUUUUGUGGGGUGCUCGAGUGGCGAACGGGUGAGUAACACGUGAGUAACCUGCCCUUUACUUUGGGAUAACUUCAGGAAACUGGGGCUAAUACCGGAUAGGAGCUCCUGCUGCAUGGUGGGGGUUGGAAAGUUUCGGCGGUUGGGGAUGGACUCGCGGCUUAUCAGCUUGUUGGUGGGGUAGUGGCUUACCAAGGCUUUGACGGGUAGCCGGCCUGAGAGGGUGACCGGCCACAUUGGGACUGAGAUACGGCCCAGACUCCUACGGGAGGCAGCAGUGGGGAAUAUUGCACCAUGGGCGGAAGCCUGAUGCAGCAACGCCGCGUGCGGGAUGACGGCCUUCGGGUUGUAAACCGCUUUCGCCUGUGACGAAGCGUGAGUGACGGUAAUGGGUAAAGAAGCACCGGCUAACUACGUG
rnacentral:rRNA from 1 species